UACGAAGGGGGCUAGCGUUGCUCGGAAUGACUGGGCGUAAAGGGCGCGUAGGCGGAGUGCUUUGUCGGGCGUGAAAUUCCAGGGCUUAACCUUGGGGCUGCGUUCGAGACGGGCAUUCUAGAGUUUGGAAGAGGGUCGUGGAAUUCCCAGUGUAGAGGUGAAAUUCGUAGAUAUUGGGAAGAACACCGGUGGCGAAGGCGGCGACCUGGUCCUUGACUGACGCUGAGGCGCGAAAGCGUGGGGAGCAAACAGG
rnacentral:rRNA from 1 species